rnacentral:lncRNA from 1 species
GGCUAAGUCACCACCAAUUUGCUUCUUAAUCUUAAUUCCAGGAGACAGACAAAGUAGCAUCUUAAACCACCACAGCUGCUUUCAUUGGGUAUCAUUAAUGCCAAAAACAUUCAAAAUUGGCAUUAUCGAUACCUUAAUGGAGGUCAAAAGUAAAAAGCAGAUUACAGACAGGAUUCAACAACUCUAAUUUCUUAACUUUUAUUCCAACAGAAAGUUGUCUACUCAACUCCUAAAUAAUCAAAGGCAAUCCAUUAGGUGACAAAGCUUAUCCUUUCUGAAUUUAAUAGAAAUUUUAUUCCAGAGUAUAGAUUUAUAAUAUACAAACGUUUCUCCUAAGAAAGCUUCAAAAUUAGUAUCACUGACUACUGGGGACUUUACAGUACUCAUAAAUGAUAAAAAAAGCUUUUGCUUUUUUAUAAACUAUAUAUGCUGAGGGAAAAUGACACGGCCUUACCAAAAACUGUUCUUCCUAAUUGUGUUCUUUGAUUUUUCUUUUACAUUUGUGAUAGAAAAACCACAAAAGCACUCUAAAAGAUUUCAUGAAACAAUGGAGGUGAUUUAACAGCUCAUUUCUGCCAGAGGUUCAUAUAAUUCCCCAGCCGCUUGGUUCUACUUUUCUCUGUUCUUCUGGCCCUCUGUUUCAGCUCCAGUCCAACUCACCAUGUGUGAUGAUAUAAUGCCAAGGAAAGCCUCC